rnacentral:rRNA from 1 species
GACGAACGCUGGCGGCGUGCUUAACACAUGCAAGUCGAACGGAAAGGCCCUGCUUUUGUGGGGUGCUCGAGUGGCGAACGGGUGAGUAACACGUGAGUAACCUGCCCUUGACUUUGGGAUAACUUCAGGAAACUGGGGCUAAUACCGGAUAUGAGCUCCUGCUGCAUGGUGGGGGUUGGAAAGUUUCGGCGGUUGGGGAUGGACUCGCGGCUUAUCAGCUUGUUGGUGGGGUAGUGGCUUACCAAGGCUUUGACGGGUAGCCGGCCUGAGAGGGUGACCGGCCACAAUGGGACUGAGGUACGGCCCAGACUCCUACGGGAGGUAGCAGUGGGGAAUAUUGCACAAUGGGCGGAAGCCUGAUGCAGCAACGCCGCGUGCGGGAUGACGGCCUUCGGGUUGUAAACCGCUUUCGCCUGUGACGAAGCGUGAGUGACGGUAAUGGGUAAAGAAGCACCGGCUAACUACGUG